GAUGAAGAACGCAGUGAAAUGCGAUAAGUAAUGUGAAUUGCAGAGUUCAGUGAAUCAUCGAAUCUUUGAACGCACAUUGCGCCCGCCAGCAUUCUGGCGGGCAUGCCUGUUCGAGCGUCAUUUCAACCCUCGACCUCCCUUUGGGGAAGUCGGCGUUGGGGACCGGCAGCACACCGCCGGCCCUGAAAUGGAGUGGCGGCCCGUCCGCGGCGACCUCUGCGUAGUAAUCCAACUCGCACCGGAACCCCGACGCGGCCACGCCGUAAAACACCCAACUUCUGAACGUUGACCUCGAAUCAGGUAGGACUACCCGCUGAACUUAAGCAUAUCAAUAAGCGGAGGA
rnacentral:misc_RNA from 1 species